GAAAAAAAUAUACAUAAGAGAGGUUUCAUAAACCCUCGUUAAGUACAAGGGGUUUUUAUAGAAACCCCAGUCAAAUUUUGUAAAUUUUGUAAAUUUUUAAAAUUUUAAUCUAAUUAGGCUUAUGAAACUCUUUUGCUCAGAAGGUAUCGCUCAGUCGGUGGUUUAUGAAGAUUUUUCGCUCGGGAAGAUGGUGCCGCCAAUAGGAAGAAGAAGGAGGCUCGUGCCUUUCGUUCGCUCAAGUUGAAUUGUGUAUCUUUCAUUCCAUCAUUCUCGUUUCUUUCGAUUCAUUUUCAUUUUCAGUUCGGUGGCUUUCGAUUUUCGAUUUCAUUUUCGUCUCUAUGGCUUUCGAUUUCAUUUUCAUUUUCGUCUCCGUGGCUUUCAAUUUCUUCUUCGUCUUUCUGAUUUCAUCUAUUUGGAUUUCAAUUUCAAUUUCUUCUCAUUGCUUUAAUCAUUCAUGCCCUGGGAACUGUGGCUCGUGCCCUUGGAGGAAGAUGUUCUCUCUUUCGAUUUCAUUGUUCUCCUUAAAAUCAGUAAGUAGUUGAAGUAUAUUGGUUCUGAUGCUACUCCUCUUGGGAAAGAAUUGAUGGAGGAGUGUGCUAAGCAUUUCCCUCGUGCCACUGUUGCUUAGGAUGUGGAUUCGGCAUAGUUGCUCUGCAGGAAUGCUUGUUUCGGGAGUGGCAUAGUGGCAUAAAUGAGGUUCUUUUUCAUCAUUUCACGUAGAGAAACAAACAUAAAGGGCUAGAGGUUCUUUUUUAAGUGACUUGGACCUAAUGGACAAGAGUUUUUUACUUCUUAUGACGAAGUUUGUGAAAGCUUCGAUGCUAUGAGAUUGCAGGAGAACAUUUUAAGGGGUAUUUAUGCAUAUGGUUUUGAGAAACCUUCUGCCAUUCAACAAAGGGGAAUUGUUCCUUUCUGCAAGGUGCUUGAUGUAAUCCAGCAAGCACAAUCUGGAAUCGGAAAAACUGCUACAUUUUGCUUUGGAGUUUUGCAGCAGCUUGAUUACAACAUAGUUCAGUGCCAGGUAAACAUGUUGUAACUGAAAUCGAUCAUGCAAUUGGAGCUCGUUCUUGGGUGAAAUUACCAUUGUUCUAUCGUCUACGAUACAACAUACAUUAUUAAUUUGGGUAGAACUAGCUUAUUAAUUUUGUAUGUAUACAAUCCUUUGAACAUAAUGAUUUACUUUUCUUACUUAUAUA